AUUUAAGAGCCCUGCUGUGGAUGAUAGAAACAACAAAAGGAGCAUCCUUGGGUAGAUUUACUCACAGACUUGCAGAAUGGCAGCUACACAUCUGUCCACCAUACCUGGCUUCUGGGUGUUGCAGUACUGGAUGUGUCUACCCUGUUAGCUUGUCCUCUAGCUCUGCCUGCCCUACACCCUGCCUAUACCCAUAAAAGGAUCACAGAGAUGGAAAACACCCACUCUAGCUUACAGAACUCAAUCACCUUUGAUGAUGUGGCCGUCAGCUUCACCCAGGCUGAGUGGCCCUUGCUGAACUCAUCUCAGAGAAAACUGAACAGAGAGGUGAUGCUGGAGAACUACUGGAACUUGGCUGUACUCAGUAAGGCCGACCCAAUCCCUUCAUUUAUUUAUUGAUCUUUGGCAUAGGUUUCUGGGAUAAAUAAAGCCCAGUCACCCUGUGGUGCAGAUCAUAGGUUUCUUACAGAUUUUUUCAGAUUUUUACUUUUAGGAAAAGUGUCUGUAUUGGGAUGUAAUUCACAUAGCAUACCUUACCCAUUUAAACUGUAGAAAACAAUUUCUUUUUAGUGUAUGCAGAGUUGUGCAACCAUCACCACUAAUUCCAGAGCAUUUCAUUACCCCACCUACAGGGCAUUUCAUAAAUCCUUGCCUACAGCCCGUGGCAACAACUAAUCUACUUUCAGUUUUUUAUAGAUUUGCCUAUUCUCAACAUUUCAUAUUAAUGGAAUUAUAUUACUUUCAGUCUUUUGUGACUGUCUUCUUUCAUUUAGAAUGAAAUGAAAGUUUUCCAAGUUCAUCAUGUUAUAUCAUAUAUCAGUUACUUAAUUCCUAUUUAUUGUUGAAUAAUAUUCUCUUGUAUAGAUACACCACAUUUUGUCUAUCCAUUCAUCAGCUGAUGGAUGUGUGGAGUUUUGACACAUUUGCUAUUAUGACUAAUGCUACUAUAAAGGUUCAUGUACAAGAUUUUGUGUGGACAUGUUUUUUGUCUUGGCUAUCUACUUAGGAGUAGAAUUAUUCGAUCAUUUGGUAACUCUAUGCUUUGUAUUUUGGAGCAAAAAAUACUCAACGGCAACAAGGUAAGAUUCACAUGGGAUUAUUUCUUGUCUUCCACAUCAGAAGUCCAGAAUGCCAUAUGCUAGAAAAAGAGCACAUGAACUAGAGCAUAAUUUGAAGCAAGUGUCCUCACACUUGUUUCACCAAGAGAAAGCAGGUGAUUCUCUAAAUAGCAUUAAUUUGAAGGAAACUCACAACCUAGCUUCAAAAAAUGGUUACAGAGAAUUCCCAAAGUAAACAGUUUCACAAUGGAGAUUAGAUAUUAAAUGUUUAAAAUAUAAUUCAGUUUAAGUCAAUUAUAUGUUAAAACUCUGUUGACGAGUCUCAACAGUAGCCAUGGGAUAUAGCAUUCAUCUUAAGCUGAUAAACAGUCAGAAAGUGUGUGUAUUCACUAAAAAAAUGUCACACAAACUCUAAUGCUUAAAAUACUUGUUAGACAUGUCAGAAUUUAUGUGUGGGGAGAUUCUCAAUCAGUAUAAUGAAUGUGAUAAAUUGUGAUCAUAACUCAUAUUUUAAUGACUAGGAGCAAACUCAUGGAAGCAAACCAAUGUUUGAAGCCUUAAGUAUGAAAUGUAGCAGAGCUCAGAGUAAGAGAAUUCAUCCUGGAGAGCAACCCUAUAAAUGCUUUGACUCUUGGAAAACCUUCAGAGAUUUUUCACAUUUUAAGACUCAUGGGGAAAUUCCUCCUGGGAAAAACUAUGAAAGUAAAAAAGAUGAAAAUGCCUUUAUUAGGAGCAUUUACUUAGCUAUGCACAGGAUGCGACCUACAAGAGAGAAAUCCUAUAAAUGUAGUGGAUGUGAAAAGGUCUUACAUUCAAUCUUCUAUCUUAAGAAACAUGGAAAAACUCACAAAAAAGGGAAAUCUUCUGAAUGUAGUCUGUGUGGUGAAGUGUUACAGAGCUAUACAUCCAUUCAGUUGCACAUGAGAACCCACACUGGAGAAAAACCUUUUAUGUGUGAUCAAUGUGGAAAAGCCUACAUACAGCUCAAGCUCUUACCUUACAAGGCACGAGAGAAUUCAUACUGGGGAGAAGCCUUAUGAAUGCCAUAGCUGUGGAAAAGUCUUCAGAGACAGCUCACUCCUCAGACAACAUGAGAGAAUUCAUGCAAGAGAAAAACCCUACAAAUGUAACCAAUGCAGCAAAACCUUUGGUCGAAGCUCUAAGCUUACCAUGCACACAAUCAUACAUAGUGGAGAGAAACCCUAUGCAUGCAAGCAUGUAGGAAAACCUUCAGUAUUCUCCCAUACCUUAAAAGCCAUGAAAGAAUCCACUCUGUAGAGAAACCCAUUAAAUGUAGCCUCUGUGGAAAAGCACUAAGUAGUCAGGAAUCCCUGAAGACACAUCUGCGGAUACAUACUGCAGAGAAACGUUGUAAGUGUGAUCAAUGCGGGAAGACUUUUCGAAUGAGCUCUAAUAUUAUGGUGCACAAGAAAAUUCAUACUGGAGAGAGACCCUACAAGUGCAGUGAUUGUGGAAGAGCUUUCAGGGAUCGCUCCUGCCUUAAAGAACACAUGAGAAUUCACACUGGUGAAAAACCUUUUACAUGCAAUCAGUGUGGAAAAGCCUUCAGAAUGAAAUCUUUCCUCAUUUCACACAAGAAAGUUCACAUGAGAACAGAACAAUAUGAGUGUAAGGAAUGUGGGAAAGUCUUCCAUGGUGUCUUAUCUCAUAGGAGACACAUGAAACAUCACACCAGGGGAAAGAAGCCCUCUAAGUGUAGCGAGUGUGGAAAAGCCUUUAGGAAGCACAUGUCCCUUAAAAUACACAUGAGAACUCACACUGGAGAGAAACCCUACAAGUGUAAUCAGUGUGGGAAAACUUUCAGUGUAAGGUGUAAUCUUACCGUGCACACAAGAAUACAUACUAAAGAAAAAACCUAAAUGUAAAGUCUGUGGGCGAGUUUUCAGUAAAUUCAUAUCCCUUCAGCAUCAUAGCAGAACUUAUGCUGGGUAAAAUUUUAAUUGACACAUCCAUGUGGAAUAGCUUUCAGGGAGCUCUCAGUCUUUCAGACAUGCAAGCAAAUGCUAACUAAAGAGAAAACCUGGGUAUAAAGACUCUGAGAAAGCCUCUGUGUAAUAUCUAAGUGGGAGAAAUUUAAGUUAUGCAAUGACCUUGAAAAAUCUUUCAUUUAUUCAUUAAUCCCUUAGGAGAUACAUGAACAUUCAAUG